rnacentral:ncRNA from 1 species
UUUAUACUUAAUAGGUAAACAGGUGCAAAACCUGUGCUGUCCCGCAGCUGUAAUGUGGAGCUGGCCUUAUAUAGUCACUGGGAAACCGGGAAGACAAGGCUGGCAGUGAAGCAGAGCCAGAAGAACUGCCUGAUAU